rnacentral:rRNA from 1 species
AAUAGAUACCCGGGUAGUCCACCCCGUAAACGUUGGGAACUAGUUGUGGGGUCCUUUCCACGGAUUCCGUGACGCAGCUAACGCAUUAAGUUCCCCGCCUGGGGAGUACGGCCGCAAGGCUAAAACUCAAAGGAAUUGACGGGGACCCGCACAAGCGGCGGAGCAUGCGGAUUAAUUCGAUGCAACGCGAAGAACCUUACCAAGGCUUGACAUACACGAGAACACUCUGGAAACAGGGGACUCUUUGGACACUCGUGAACAGGUGGUGCAUGGUUGUCGUCAGCUCGUGUCGUGAGAUGUUGGGUUAAGUCCCGCAACGAGCGCAACCCUCGUUCUAUGUUGCCAGCACGUUAUGGUGGGAACUCAUGGGAUACUGCCGGGGUCAACUCGGAGGAAGGUGGGGAUGACGUCAAAUCAUCAUGCCCCUUAUGUCUUGGGCUUCACGCAUGCUACAAUGGCCGGUACAAAGGGCUGCAAUACCGUGAGGUGGAGCGAAUACCCAAAAAGCCGGUCCCAGUUCGGAUUGAGGUCUGCAACUCGACCUCA